AUUGAACGCUGGCGGCAUGCCUUACACAUGCAAGUCGAACGGUAACAGGUCUUCGGAUGCUGACGAGUGGCGAACGGGUGAGUAAUACAUCGGAACGUGCCCGAUCGUGGGGGAUAACGAAGCGAAAGCUUUGCUAAUACCGCAUAAGAUCUAAGGAUGAAAGCAGGGGACCGCAAGGCCUUGCGCGAACGGAGCGGCCGAUGGCAGAUUAGGUAGUUGGUGGGAUAAAAGCUUACCAAGCCGACGAUCUGUAGCUGGUCUGAGAGGACGACCAGCCACACUGGGACUGAGACACGGCCCAGACUCCUACGGGAGGCAGCAGUGGGGAAUUUUGGACAAUGGGCGAAAGCCUGAUCCAGCCAUGCCGCGUGCAGGACGAAGGCCUUCGGGUUGUAAACUGCUUUUGUACGGAACGAAAAGACUCUUUCUAAUAAAGAGGGUCCAUGACGGUACCGUAAGAAUAAGCACCGGCUAACUACGUGCCAGCAGCCGCCGCGG
rnacentral:rRNA from 1 species